rnacentral:rRNA from 1 species
UUUGARCCUGGCUCAGGAUGAACGCUGGCGGCGUGCUUAACACAWRCAAGUCGAACGAUGAUCCCAGCUUGCUGGGGGAUUAGUGGCGAACGGGUGAGUAACACGUGAGUAACCUGCCCUUGACUCUGGGAUAAGCCUGGGAAACUGGGUCUAAUACCGGAUACGACCAUCUGGCGCAUGUCAUGGUGGUGGAAAGCUUUUGUGGUUUUGGAUGGACYCSCGGCCUAUCAGCUUGUUGGUGGGGUAAUGGCCURCCAAGGCGACGACGGGUAGCCGGCCUGAGAGGGUGACCGSCCACWCUGGGAYUGAGACACGGCCCAGAC